GGCGCACGGGUGAGUAACACGUAGGUAAUCUACCUUCGGAUGGGGAAUAACACCGAGAAAUCGGUGCUAAUACCGCAUAAUGCAGCGGCACCUAAUGGUGACAGUUGUUAAAGCGGGGGAUUGAAAGACCUCGCGUCUGAAGAGGAGCCUGCGGCAGAUUAGCUAGUUGGUAAGGUAACGGCUUACCAAGGCGAUGAUCUGUAGCCGGCCUGAGAGGGCGGUCGGCCACACUGACACUGACAUACGGGUCAGACUCCUACGGGAGGCAGCAGUCGGGAAUUUUGGGCAAUGGGCGAAAGCCUGACCCAGCAACGCCGCGUGAAGGAUGAAAUCCCUCGGGAUGUAAACUUCGCAAGAACAGGAAGAAUAAGUGAGAGUUAACACCUCUUACGAUGACGGUACUGUUUGUAAGCUCCGGCUAACUCCGUGCCAGCCGCCGCGG
rnacentral:rRNA from 1 species